AAGAAAUCAAGCUCUGCUUCCGUGUUGCUCUUGUAUUGCUUUUUCUUUCUACGUUUUUUUUUGUCUGAUUUAUCAUAAUCUUCUUCAACAUCUUUUUCUUGGUUUGAGAGAACGGAUUUAAAAUUUCCUUGUUUUUGUGCAUAGGUAAAUGAAAAUUCAUUAUUUAUGAAUAAUUUUAUAAAAAAUUUAAUAAUUUAUUAAAACAAAAAAAGAAAUACAUAGAAUUAGAAUAAUUAGAAUAAUAUAAAUAUGAUAGAAUAGAAUAAAUGGAAAAGGAGUCAAAGCGAUUUGAUUAUUAUUAUAUAUAUUUUACUUUAUUCUCUUUAUUCUUUAUUUAUUAUUUACUUUUUUAUUUACUUUACCACUCUCAGUCUUAGGAAAAAGACACAUUAUUCAGAAUAGAAAAAAGGCUAUUGAAAACAAAAAAGAAAUCUACGCUUGUUGAAGGUGAAGUUUAUAAAUAAAGCAAUUCCUUCUGUCGUGUAUCCCCGAUUAAUGCAACCAACUAAAGCAAACUAAAACAAUAAAAUAAAGAAUAUCCAAAUACAACUAAAAAUAAAAAUAUAGUUUUUUUCCUAAUUAUUGUAUUCUUUGUUGAUUGGAACUGGUCGCUUCCAGUUGCUUGGUUAAAAUCAUUCCCAUAAGCUCGCUCACAGGGAGAUCACUCAGAGUAUAACCCUGAAAACAAAAGCGCAUUUCAACGGAUCCAAUCGCUCUUUUUUUUUCUUGGAUAAGAAUAAAAUAAACAAAACCCCAUUUUCUUAAUUAAUCAUCGCGGGUAGAUUGAUUUUUGAUUGAUUCUAUAUAAAUAGAUAUAAAAUAAAAAAUUUCUAUUUAUUCUAAAUCUAUAAUUUCGAAUUUAUAUUUAGAAUAAAUAGAAUUUCGAAUUAAAAGUUUUUUUAUUUCUAAAAUUCUAAUAAAUAUUAGAUAUUAGUUAGAUAUUAGAAUUCCUUUUAUUUAGAAAAAUCUGAAAUGAAGUGAAAACGAAAAAGUAUUACUUGUUUUGGAUUUGUAUAGUAUUAUACUAUAUAUAGUAUAAACAUAUUCUUCAGCCUCCUUAACACCGUGGCCCAGUCAUCAACGCUUACACUGAUAGGUCAGGUGUCCCCAUAGGGCAUCACGACUAUGUUACACAUGCGGAUGAUCAAGCGCCAACGUGGGACCGGCCCUUCUCAGUACCGUCUCUCUCAUGCCAUUGACGAGGAGGAUCUUGAGGACAUUCCUGAUGAUGUUCCCCCACAGCACGAGGAACCUUCAACCGCCCCACCUAGGGAACGACUAGUUCCUGCGGCUGCUUUAUUGGCACAUCUUUCUGACCGACUCGCCCACUUCGAGCAGUACUGCACUACGCAGUUUGAGAUGAUAUGCAGGCCAUAAUGCAGCAGCUGUGCCAACACUUCCACAUCACACCUCCAGCACCACCACCUGAGGUCCCCACCGACGAGGAUCAUUGAAUCCUCCUAUUUUAUUUUUAUUUUUAUUUAUUCUUAUUCUUAUUCUUAUUUUAUUUAUUUUAUUCUUAUUUUUCUUUUGAUUUUUAUUUUCAUUUCAAUUUUCUUAUUUUGAAUGACAUAUCUAUAUUAGUAAAUUUUUCUUUUCCAUUUUCUAGUAUUUCUAACAAGUACUUCCACUACACUCCCUUCCACACCAAAUCUUAAUAAGCUCUUCAUGAUUCUACAGACUUCCAAGUAAAGCUUCUAGGAAUAUUUUACGCAAUGAGGAAACAAAUAGGGAACAAUACCUAACGAGUGCGGUGUUCAACGACCCAAUUUCUUCAUCUGGCCAAAAACAGUGACCGCUACCAUUUUCCCCAAACACUCCAGCCUCAAAAUCAAGCUCUGCAUCCUUCUAACAGGGAGUUUCACCUCUUUCCCUCUUAUGAUUUUCUUUAUGUUGACUAGUCUAUCUUUGUACAUUGAGGGAAAUGUAUAUCUUAAGUGUGGGGGUGAACAUGGAACCUAACUUUUUGCAUUAUUCUCAAAUCCCUGAGUUUGGUCUUGUGCUUAAGUGAUUUUCUCAUAAUAUUGAUAGAAUGAAUUCUGAUUGAUCUAUAACUAUUGUUGGUAUAUCAUGAAUUAGACCAUGGGAAUUAUGCAUGAUUAUUUGAUUAUAGGACAUUAAAGAAUCAAGCAUGAUAAGUUGAUAUUUUAAGAACUAAAAUUUUUAGAUUAUUUUCCUAAAUUGAGAUAUUAUCUUGAAAUCUUAAGUAUACAGGAAUGACAUCAAAAACCCAAAUUUUUGGUGAGAUUUUUGAGCCUUUUGAGCAUAUAGCUUUCUUUUUUGCUCACUUCUUUUGUGAUUUGAGUGUGUCAACAUUGAACUGUUAUUCUAGAACUUGCGUCGAUUAUACAUGUCAAGAUCACACAUAUGAUUUGAUAUACUGAGAUGAUAAAGGCAGUUACAAUUUAACCCAUUGACUCCAUAAAAAGCCUUCCCACAUAAUUAAACCCUUAGUGAACCCCUUUUGAACCUAUUAACCUUUUUCUUUGAUUAACCCUCAUCAUUAACCCAUUAACCCAUUAUUGUUGAAAUCCUCUUACUUAUUUUGACCCUUUUUAUUGAGAUUGAAUUUAAUAUUGUUACAUCACUAUGUUCACUAUUUUUUAUUACUGAAUCAUGAAGUCUGAUUUUCAUAUUGUAUUAACUUGAUUUGUUCUAAAAAAAUGUGUGUAAUUCUCAGUAAGUUAAAGUUGUCAUGAACUCAUGUAAAAUAGUUCUAGCUAUUUGUUUGUGAUUCAGUAAUUAAGUUUUUGAUAGUGGGGUAACAUAUUGAAAUUAUCUCGAUUCUAAACCCUGUUCUUUGACCUAUAUCCAUACCUGUAACCUAAACCUAUUACAACCAUGAAAAGACCUUUUGAUUAGUGUAUCAUAUCAUUUACAAGUGGUGGAGAUUUGAUUUUUAGGCAAGCCUAUGGUAAUAACUUUUCAUGUUAGACAAUCAAGUGCUUAAUCUUGACCCUUAAACACUUUGAGUGAUUUGAGUGAAUCUUUAGUGAGGAUGUCAUCUCUUGUGUAUUUAAGACUAAAGUUAAUUACUUAAAGGAAGGAGCUUACCUAUAAUUUUAUUAUCAAAAUAUCUGAUUUAGAUUGUUUGAGGCUUUAAUGCCCCUAUAGUUAAAUUCUCACUAUAUAAUUUUUCGUGGAAUAGUUUGUAACAUUAUCAAUACUGAUUAUGUGAUUGAAAAGAAUGAAUUCUAGCAGGAAGUGAGAAUUUUUCUUGAGGACAAGCAAAUGCUUAAGUGUGGGGGUAUUUGAUAAACGCCAAAUGAUACAUGUUUUUACCCCAAAUACUUAGCAUAUUUAUGGAUGUUUACUGCUAGAUUUGUGGAUUUUAGUGCUUUUAAUCUAGUUAUUUCGUGUUUUGUACCCAGGAGAGCACCAAGAGUCAAAAGGAGCCAAAAACGAGCUAAAUAAGGGACAAAACGGACCAAAUUGAGAAGACCCAUACGGCCUAAGCCUUGCCACACGGGCAACUCACAUGCCCGUCCCUUUCGAGGGUGUCAACCAAGGUUUACAUGACUUACACGGCCUGGCCAUUGAGCCCACACGGCCGUGGCAAUUUAACGGAUCGUACACGGCCUGGUAACCACGUCACACAGCCAUGGCACACGAACCUGUCCCUUUUUCAAGGAGUUGUAUUCUACACGAAAAAAGGAUACUUAGGGGGGAAGAAAGCCAAUCAAAAGCCUAUAUAGAUAGCCUAAGUAUGACCUAGAAAGGGGGGAUCUCCAGAACUUUUCUAGAACACAGAACCACAUGCCGGGAAUUACUUGAAGGAAGCCAUACGAUCCAUCUCAAAAGCCAGAGCUACUCCAAGACUGAAGAUCUCUCUCAGAAUUCCUUCAGGGGUUUUAGAGUUUUCUUUAUGUUUUGUUAUUUUCAUACUUUUGAGAUGUACUUUUAUUUUAUUAUAAACUAAACCCCUUAGAUACCUAAGAGGGAUAAAACCUAUGAUGGAUCUUGUUAUUAUUAUCUGAACUGUAUGAUAAAUACUUGAUUUGUUCUUAAUUAUGUGUUCUUAAUGCUUGAGUUAAUAAUCUGGGUAUUAAUUCAUGAUUUGAUGUGUUAUGCAGGAGGAAUAGACCCUGCCUAAGAGUAGAUUUGGCAUAAUUAAGCGGAGUUGAUCGAACGCCUAAAAAUAGGGUUACGAGAUUUUGUCAGAUUAGGAUGAAACCUAAUAAGGGGAUCCAUAGAUCGAGUUAAUGCAACCCUAGAGUGUUAAUUAGAGAAAAGUCUUGGUUAUUCAAUCUAGGGAUUAGAUGUUAUUUGUCUUGAAUAGGGAUAAUAACUUAACUUAGGGAUCUCUGCGGAACAAGUCAAGUGAAUAAAUUGUCCGGUUCAGAGUCAGAUAACAAGUGAAAUCUAGGUGGAUUCCUCAUUGGGUGUCAUCUUUAUUAAUUGUUUCUCUUCAAGUCUUUUUCCAAAUUCUCUCUUCGCUUUAAUUAAAUUAGUUAAUUGGUUUAGAUAAUUAGUUUAAUAAACAAACCCUUUUAUUCUUAGGCUAGAUAAUAAAAAGAUAGUUAUUACUAGUACUUUUGGUUCCCUUGGGUACGAUAUCCCGAUCUUGCCAUUAUUAUACUAUUGUUCAAUAGGUGCGCUUGCCUUUUCGUCGUGAUAAUAGUUAGUCUAGGUUUGAUCUUCAUUAUAAAUAUUUAUUACUUGUUACGAAUCACUGCGAUCAGUUUUGUUCUCUUCAUUUAGUACACGAGUCUCAUGAACUAUUCCUAAUUAGUUUUAUAUUUCUAUGCUAUUUUUGGGACGUAUUGGUUGAACUUCGACUUUUCAAUGUAGGUACAAUGUCAUCCUCACGUGGUAAGAAGACCGAUGUUCCCGCCUCGAAAAAAAGCGCUUCUCAGAAGGCAACCCGAGCACUAACAUAUUUUGAUUUCUUUAUUUUUUAAUUUCUAACACUUUGAAUCAUUAACUUAAUCUUUGAAUUGCACAGUUUUUUAGAACAGACGGCCAGGCACACGGGUGUGCCUAAGCUGUGGCCAAACAGGGGAAGAGACACGGCCGUGCGGGACGGCCAUGUUGAAGCAGGUCAUGAUUUCCCCAAAACACGGGGUGCGAUAAAUCCCCACGGCCGUGCGACAUGGCCGUGGGUGAACUUGAUAGGAAGAACACAGGCGUGGGAUAGAAAACCACGGGCGUGCCUGGGACAAGGCUCUAUUCUAUUUCUUCGACACGGGCGUGCGACACGCCCGUGCCAUUAAACUGUGGACAACAAUACACGGGCGUGCUACCAUAAAACACGGGCGUGAGAGAAGCGAACAAAGCUAGGCACGACCGUACGACAUGGCUGUGUGCCACACAUGCCCAAGACACACAGGCGUGUGAUAGUAGCCGGGCAUGACCACAUUUGAAAAAAAUUUAAAAAACAUGGGCUACCCUCAUAGCACACGAGCGUGGCCCUAGGCCGUGUGCCCCUCCCCUAUAUAAACAAACCACUGUUCAUAUUCUUCCUUCUUUCAAAACCCUAGCCGGAAUCUACCCUCCCCCAACCCCUACUCCCUAUUCCGGCCACCAUUCCCUAGAUUCUUACUUCCCUAACCCUCAAACCACCCUCAAAGUCACUCCACUUACAUUAAUCCCCAUUUUACCCUCCAUUUUCCCACCACACAGUUUCCUCUCCGCGUCACACGCCCGUGCUCGCCAUCACACGCUUGUGCACUGCCUUACAACAACCCUUGGUUCACUUUCUUAACCUUGUUUUUCCAAUUUGUGUUGUUACAUAAGUAUUUUUUAUGCUUUACAUAGAUAUUGUUACUAUUAAAAAUAUGUUUUAGACAAGUUAAUAAUUUUCUUUAGAAUUUUCUAUAUUUGAUUUAUUUAAAAAACUAAAUAGCAUAUACUAGUUUUUGGGCCUAUUGCUUAACUACUAAUGUAUCUUGGAUUCUAUCAAUGCUCAUAUAUUUUCAGGUAUAUUAUGUCGUCAUCAAGGGGCAAGAAAGCCGUGGUCCCUUCCUCAAAAAGACGUAGGGGACCAGGUUCUUCCUUGGUACGAGCUACAGCCGAAGUUCGACACCCGUUCCUUGAAUUUCCACAAGCUUCGCAGGAGGAGCUAUUUCAAAUACCAUGCACACGACCUAUCACCACAGGUCGCUGCAUCAAUUGGGCUGCCGUAGAGCAAGUCUAGCUGGCUGAUGCCAUCCGCACCCUCCUGUCUGCAGACCCAUAGGAACGAUUCUUCGCUAUUACCGAGCCCACUUAUUUAGAGCUAACUCUAGAACUAUGCUUUACUUUUCAUUUACAGAUGGUGAUGAUGAACAAUGACGACCCAGGCACCAUUCACUUCCGAUUAGGCAGUCUAGUUAGUGCGAUGAGUGUCCCAGAGUUUCGAGUUGCUCUGGGACUCUACACCGAUGAAUUUAUGGAGGAGAAGGAGGACAUGAAUGCACUACCACGCAAUCUCCACAUCUCCCUCUCCUUAUGCUGGAAGGCUUUGGCACCACUCUCUUCUAUCUACGACCCUAGCCGCUCGUAGGCCUCAUCCUUCGCUCCUUCCCUACGCUACCUCCAUGUCAUCUUGGCACACAUAUUGACCGGGAGGAGAGAGAGCACCGACGAUUUCACCACCUACGACACCUACUAUUUAUGGUGCAUGGUGAAUGUACACGUGACUGACUUGGCCUACUUUAUUACUUUCACCAUUCGCCAUCAGACUGAGCGGCAUAGGAAGGGAGUGAUCUCCAUCGGCCUCUUCGUGGCGUGCCUAUUUUCUCCUUCUAUUUCUAUUAAAACUAAAACUAAUAAAAACCCCUCAAAUGACUAACUAUCGAUACUGGAGUAUCCCGUAGUAAUGAAUGUGCACGUGAUUUGGGAUAGAGUAAUAUUGUUUGUUCUAUCUAUGUAAGACAAAAAAAACUCCACCUCGGAACUUCUAAUUGAGAUAUGAAUACACUACACCGGUUGCACAAAAAAAUGGGUUUUGAUGAUAAUGAUGAUGGGGAAAUACCAAUUCAAAUUGACUGCAUUCAAAAAGAUGUUACGGCAUGGAUCGAAAUUAUAAAUUCUUCCAUUUUCAGCUAUUAAAUAAUAGUUAAGUACUUGAAAAGCCUGUUUUAAAUUGUCAAGCUCAAAAUAUUUCGCUACCGAGGUCUGAUUAUGAGUUAUUAAAGGGUAAAAUGAUGAAUAAAAAUUCGCAGGAAGAAAUCAAGCUCUGCUUCCGUGUUGCUCUUGUAUUGCUUUUUCUUUCUACGUUUUUUUUGUCUGAUUUAUCAUAAUCUUCUUCAACAUCUUUUUCUUGGUUUGAGAGAACGGAUUUAAAAUUUCCUUGUUUUUGUGCAUAGGUAAAUGAAAAUUCAUUAUUUAUGAAUAAUUUUAUAAAAAAUUUAAUAAUUUAUUAAAACAAAAAAAGAAAUACAUAGAAUUAGAAUAAUUAGAAUAAUAUAAAUAUGAUAGAAUAGAAUAAAUGGAAAAGGAGUCAAAGCGAUUUGAUUAUUAUUAUAUAUAUUUUACUUUAUUCUCUUUAUUCUUUAUUUAUUAUUUACUUUUUUAUUUACUUUACCACUCUCAGUCUUAGGAAAAAGACACAUUAUUCAGAAUAGAAAAAAGGCUAUUGAAAACAAAAAAGAAAUCUACGCUUGUUGAAGGUGAAGUUUAUAAAUAAAGCAAUUCCUUCUGUCGUGUAUCCCCGAUUAAUGCAACCAACUAAAGCAAACUAAAACAAUAAAAUAAAGAAUAUCCAAAUACAACUAAAAAUAAAAAUAUAGUUUUUUUCCUAAUUAUUGUAUUCUUUGUUGAUUGGAACUGGUCGCUUCCAGUUGCUUGGUUAAAAUCAUUCCCAUAAGCUCGCUCACAGGGAGAUCACUCAGAGUAUAACCCUGAAAACAAAAGCGCAUUUCAACGGAUCCAAUCGCUCUUUUUUUUUCUUGGAUAAGAAUAAAAUAAACAAAACCCCAUUUUCUUAAUUAAUCCUCGCGGGUAGAUUGAUUUUUGAUUGAUUCUAUAUAAAUAGAUAUAAAAU
rnacentral:lncRNA from 1 species